AAUCUCGAGACCGAAGAGGUUGUUACCGCGACAAAUUCAGAGACUCGAAAGCGAAGCCGAAAAGGCUUCUUUGUUUUCUUUUUUGUUUUUGUUUUUGGAACCCUUUUUAGUUCGGUGAGGACGACGACCGGAAAAAGAGGGCGGAAGUGUGGAGCAAGCGGCAAUUUCAGGUGCAUAUACUUGAAGAUCAAGCGCAGGAGAGCGUUGUGAAAUCUCAAACUCUGAGGAAACUUUCGUGAGCGCUCCAGAAGCUGACUUUUUUUUUUCGUCGGUUGGCAAGCCAGGUCGAGCUGACCGUAGAGCUAGCGCGUUUUUUUUUUCGCUUCGCCAUCUCAUAGGAAUUUUUGGCGUUGGCGAAAAAAAAAGGGCAGAAAAGAUGUCCGUUGAUUUUCUCAACUCAGUUGAGAGGUCGCGGCUACUGGAUGCCCUCUUUGACAAUACGUCUUCCUUCGGCACAUUGUCAAAGAGGUUUCGGGACAACUUUCAGCCAGCUCGGUACUCCGCCGUGUGCUGUGAGAUGGGGCAGAUGUGCAAGGAGUUCGUAGCGUCGGCGGAGGCCACGGGUCUCAUCGCUUCUCUGUAUAUUGUGGAUUACAUGAGGAAGCAAGACAACGUGGCGGCGAAGUCGACAUUUUACGACGUGCUAAUAGAGCUGGAGCAUGCUAUUCGGAGAGACAUGUUUGUCGUUGAGCAGAUCAAGUACACAACGAAGGAGUCGAAAGAGGGCAAGAAGAGCCUGGAGGCCACCCGCGCAGAGGUGUUCCGCAUUCAUUGCGCAGCAAAGGUGUUUGCGUUCCAGCUGCUUGGAGACACGGUUGCAGAUGAUGAGAAAGUUGUGUCGUAUGCUUCGAAGAAACAGGAUUCUAUUGAUGAGGCUCUUAACGCGUGGGAGAAGGCGAGCAUCAAGAUCAAGGAGCCGAUGGCGGACAUUGAGCACUGCUGGGUCGCAAAGCACGAGAAGCAGCAGUGCGGCUCGUUGUACGAGACGGCCGCUGUGUUUGAUGAGCAGCCGAACAAACUGUUUGCGUUACUUCUCCCAUCGGUAACAGCAAAGCUACCGAUGCUGCCUAUGCAGGAAGGUGAACUGCAGUAUCUGCUACCCGGAAAGUCUGCAAUGCUUCUUCUCGACAGUGCUCCACCAAGCGAAGGAUGGAUGAUCUCCAAGAGACUGCUUGUAGAGGCGCGCAAGUCGAAACUCUCUAAGGAUGACGAGCAGACGCUGCUUGGGCUGCUGAACGAGUCGCUUGUGUCGCGUUUAGGUGUUUCCCCGCAGCAGCUGAGUGAGCUAGCGACGCAUAGUCCAGAGGUUUGUGCCUCUGUGCUGCUAAAGGUUCCGUCGGGCUCAGCAGGGGCGUUUAUUCAGUUUUUACUGAAGGGCAACAUCCCGGAGGAUAACAUGCAGGCGAUUCUACUUCGAGCGUCGUCCGUCCUGCAGCAGGUCAACGUGCGAACCUUCAUUUCUACCAUGCUCCACAAGCUCAAGGAAAGAUGUGGGCUGCCUUCUGCUGCGGAGAGCUUGAAGAGUUUUGCGGUGACUCUUCAUCAGCUGGUGAUGAAGGCCGCAAAGGAGAAUAGAGAGAUUUUUAUAGCCGACACGUUUCGCGCGGAUCUGGAGCAGCUGUUUCAGUCCAGCAACAUCCCGGAAGUGAAGAACAGAUGGGAGGAAAUGAAGCGGUAGCACUAGCUUAUGCUACUGGCUGAGCUUCCCCGCUCUUCUUGUUCUCUUCUCGCAAGUGCUCCUAGUCAUGCGUCCCGUUUGUUUUGAUAACUUCUCUUGUAAGCUUGAGUAAUCGGCCCACCGCACUUUCGUUGUCGUCUUUUUUUUUUUUCUGUUUUCUUUUUUUUUUCGCUCGCGUACUUGUGCGGGUCGUCUUGUCAACUAGCUCAUCUCAGUUGGGUGAAGAGGAACAGC
rnacentral:misc_RNA from 1 species